CACGUAGGGCGCAAGCGUUGUCCGGAAUUAUUGGGCGUAAAGAGCUCGUAGGCGGACUGUCACGUCUGCUGUGAAAAGCUGGGGCUUAACCCUGGCCUUGCAGUGGAUACGGGCAGACUAGAGGUAGGUAGGGGAGAAUGGAAUUCCCGGUGUAGCGGUGAAAUGCGCAGAUAUCGGGAGGAACACCGGUGGCGAAGGCGGUGCUCUGGGCCUUACCUGACGCUGAGGAGCGAAAGCGUGGGGAGCGAACAGG
rnacentral:rRNA from 1 species